ensembl:misc_RNA 7SK 7SK RNA
GGAUGGGAGAACAAACUGGCGGCGACACCUGCCACACUGAUCACCAGGGCUGACUCAGCUGAUCUGGCUGGCUAGGCAGGUUGUCCCCUUCUUCCCUCAUCACUCCACAUUCGUCCCUUACAAAACUGUGAACUCAGUGGAAGGGGAGGGCCAUCCUUCAGGGAAGAGGACCAGUCUUAGGCCAAGAGUUUUGACUAACUAUUCUCUCCUGAUAUAACUUCAAACAAGCUCUCAAUGACUAUCAUGAUUCAAAUUAGCCAUUCUGAAAGGUUGUUU